rnacentral:rRNA from 1 species
UACAGAGGGUACGAGCGUUAAUCGGAAUUACUGGGCGUAAAGCGUGCGCAGGCGGUUUUGUAAGCCAGAUGUGAAAUCCCCGGGCUUAACCUGGGAAUGGCAUUUGGGACUGCAAGGCUGGAGUGCGGCAGAGGAGACUGGAAUUCCUGGUGUAGCAGUGAAAUGCGUAGAUAUCAGGAGGAAUACCGAUGGCGAAGGCAGGUCUCUGGGCUGACACUGACGCUCAUGCACGAAAGCGUGGGGAGCAAACAGG